CUUGUUGGUGAGGUAAAAGCUCACCAAGGCGACGAUCCUUAGCUGGUCUGAGAGGAUGAUCAGCCACACUGGGACUGAGACACGGCCCAGACUCCUACGGGAGGCAGCAGUGGGGAAUAUUGGACAAUGGGCGAAAGCCUGAUCCAGCCAUUCCGCGUGCAGGAUGAAGGCCCUCGGGUUGUAAACUGCUUUUGUACGGAACGAAAAGGCUUUCUCUAAUACAGGAAGCUGAUGACGGUACCGUAAGAAUAAGCACCGGCUAACUACGUGCCAGCAGCCGCGGUAAUACGUAGGGUGCAAGCGUUAAUCGGAAUUACUGGGCGUAAAGCGUGCGCAGGCGGUGAUGUAAGACAGGUGUGAAAUCCCCGGGCUUAACCUGGGAACUGCAUUUGUGACUGCAUCGCUGGAGUGCGGCAGAGGGGGAUGGAAUUCCGCGUGUAGCAGUGAAAUGCGUAGAUAUGCGGAGGAAC
rnacentral:rRNA from 1 species